GACGAACGCUGGCGGCGUGCUUAACACAUGCAAGUCGAACGGAAAGGCCCUGCUUUUGUGGGGUGCUCGAGUGGCGAACGGGUGAGUAACACGUGAGUAACCUGCCCUUGACCUUGGGAUAACUUCAGGAAACUGGGGCUAAUACCGGAUAGGAGCUCCUGCUGCAUGGUGGGGGUUGGAAAGGUUCGGCGGUUGGGGAUGGACUCGCGGCUUAUCAGCUUGUUGGUGGGGUAGUGGCUUACCAAGGCUUUGACGGGUAGCCGGCCUGAGAGGGUGACCGGCCACAUUGGGACUGAGAUACGGCCCAGACUCCUACGGGAGGCAGCAGUGGGGAAUAUUGCACAAUGGGCGGAAGCCUGAUGCAGCAACGCCGCGUGCGGGAUGACGGCCUUCGGGUUGUAAACCGCUUUCGCCUGUGACGAAGCGUGAGUGACGGUAAUGGGUAAAGAAGCACCGGCUAACUACGUG
rnacentral:rRNA from 1 species